UUGUGGUUCCACUGCCUUGGAGCUUGUUUGAGCCCAUAAAGGGACUUUGUUAGUCUACAUACCUUCUCCCCUUGACUGACAAAUCCCUGGGGUAGCUGCAUAUAUAUUUCAUCCUCUAGGUCUCCAUGUAGGAAUGCAUUGAAGACAUCUAAUUGAUGAAUGGGCCAAUUUUUGGAUGCUGCAGUGGAAAGAAUGGCCCUGACAGUCACCAUCUUCACAACAGGGGAAAAGAUCCAUCUGCAACCAAUGGGCUUCUUCCCUGCAGCUUCAGCAUAGCUGGAAGGUUCUAUCACAGAGGAAGCUGCUGCAAUAAAAUGUUGAUGAGAAGGUGAGAGGUGAGAGUAGCUUACAUAGUUGGACAGAGGAUAUUGGACAUCCUGAUUAACAUUCAAGGAGACAAAAUCCUUCAUCCAUGUGGGAGGAUGUUUAGACCUGGCAGAUUUUCUAGUGAGAGGAGGAUCAGGCAUAUCAGUCUCAAUCACAUCUGUAAGU